rnacentral:rRNA from 1 species
AUUGAACGCUGGCGGCAUGCUUUACACAUGCAAGUCGAACGGUAACAGGCCGCAAGGUGCUGACGAGUGGCGCACGGGUGCGUAAUGCAUCGGAACGUGCCCCGUCGUGGGGGAUAACUACUCGAAAGAGUAGCUAAUACCGCAUACGAUCUAUGGAUUAAAGCGGGGGACCGUAAGGCCUCGCGCGAUUGGAGCGGCCGAUGUCAGAUUAGGUAGUUGGUGGGGUAAAGGCUCACCAAGCCAACGAUCUGUAGCUGGUCUGAGAGGACGACCAGCCACACUGGGACUGAGACACGGCCCAGACUCCUACGGGAGGCAGCAGUGGGGAAUUUUGGACAAUGGGCGCAAGCCUGAUCCAGCAAUGCCGCGUGCAGGAAGAAGGCCUUCGGGUUGUAAACUGCUUUUGUACGGAACGAAACGGCUCUGGUUAAUACCCGGGGCUAAUGACGGUACCGUAAGAAUAAGCACCGGCUAACUACGUG